rnacentral:rRNA from 1 species
UACAGAGGGUGCAAGCGUUGUUCGGAAUUAUUGGGCGUAAAGAGCUCGUAGGCGGCUUGGCAAGUCGGGUGUGAAACCUCCAGGCUACACCGUGGAGACGCCACUCGAUACUGCCAUGGCUAGAGUCCGGUAGGGGACACGGAAUUCCUGGUGUAGCGGUGAAAUGCGCAGAUAUCAGGAGGAACACCGGUGGCGAAGGCGGUGGUCUGGGCCGGCACUGACGCUGAGGAGCGAAAGCGUGGGUAGCAAACAGG